AACGAACGCUGGCGGCAGGCUUAACACAUGCAAGUCGAGCGCCCCGCAAGGGGAGCGGCAGACGGGUGAGUAACGCGUGGGAAUCUACCCAUCCCUACGGAAUAGCUCCGGGAAACUGGAAUUAAUACCGUAUACGCCCUACGGGGGAAAGAUUUAUCGGGGAUGGAUGAGCCCGCGUUGGAUUAGCGAGUUGGUGGGGUAAAGGCCUACCAAGGCGACGAUCCAUAGCUGGUCUGAGAGGAUGAUCAGCCACAUUGGGACUGAGACACGGCCCAAACUCCUACGGGAGGCAGCAGUGGGGAAUAUUGGACAAUGGGGGCAACCCUGAUCCAGCCAUGCCGCGUGAGUGAUGAAGGACUUAGGGUUGUAAAGCUCUUUCACCGGGGAAGAUAAUGACUGUACCCACAGAAGAAGCCCCGGCUAACUCCGUGCCAGCCGCCGCAGUAAUAC
rnacentral:rRNA from 1 species